rnacentral:rRNA from 1 species
GAUGAACGCUGGCGGCGUGCCUAAUACAUGCAAGUCGAGCGAACGGACGAGAAGCUUGCUUCUCUGAUGUUAGCGGCGGACGGGUGAGUAACACGUGGAUAACCUACCUAUAAGACUGGGAUAACUUAGGGAAACCGGAGCUCAUACAGGAUAAUAUUUUGAACCGCAUGGUUCAAAAGUGAAAGACGGUCUUGCUGUCACUUAUAGAUGGAUCCGCGCUGCAUUAGCUAGUUGGUAAGGUAACGGCUUACCAAGGCAACGAUGCAUAGCCGACCUGAGAGGAUGAUCGGCCACACUGGAACUGAGACACGGUCCAGACUCCUACGGGAGGCAGCAGUAGGGAAUCUUCCGCAAUGGGCGAAAGCCUGACGGAGCAACGCCGCGUGAGUGAUGAAGGUCUUCGGAUCGUAAAGCUCUGUUAGUAGGGAAGAACAUAAGUGUAAGUAACUGUGCACAUCUUGACGUUACCUAAACAGAAAGCCACGGCUAACUUCGUG